ensembl:snoRNA SNORA74 Small nucleolar RNA SNORA74
CCCAGCUGUAGGCAGCUGCCUAGGCUGCCUUGUACCUAGGCACGUGUUACACUACUGGGAGAGAAGCAGGCAGUACCUGGCAGCCAUUCUGGGCCUGGUUAAUGCCAAAUCUAUGUUAACUAUACUGUUUGGCACCAUA